CUACGUAGGGGGUGAGCGUUGUCCGGAAUGACUGGGCGUAAAGGGCGUGUAGGCGGCGGUGUAAGUCUGGAGUGAAAGUCCCGCAUUCAAUGUGGGAAUUGCUUUGGAUACUGCAGUGCUAGAGUGCGGAAGAGGUAAGAGGAAUUCCCAGUGUAGCGGUGAAAUGCGUAGAGAUUGGGAGGAACACCAGUGGCGAAGGCGACUUACUGGGCCGUAACUGACGCUGAGGCGCGAAAGCGUGGGGAGCGAACAGGAUUAGAUACCCUGGUAGUCCACGCGGUAAACGAUGAAUGCUAGGUGUUGCGGGUAUCGACCCCUGCAGUGCCGGAGUCAACACAAUAAGCAUUCCGCCUGGGGAGUACGGCCGCAAGGUUGAAACUCAAAGGAAUUGACGGGG
rnacentral:rRNA from 1 species